AAAGACUUAGAAAAAUUUCAACCACGGGCUACCAAGCGUUGGUAGCCUGUGGUUGAAAUUUUUCUAAGUCUU